rnacentral:rRNA from 1 species
UACGUAGGGUGCAAGCGUUAAUCGGAAUUACUGGGCGUAAAGAGUGCGUAGGCGGCUAUGUAAGACAGAUGUGAAAUCCCUGGGCUUAACCUAGGAACUGCAUUUGUGACUGCAUGGCUAGAGUGUGGUAGAGGGAGAUGGAAUUCCGCAUGUAGCAGUGAAAUGCGUAGAUAUGCGGAGGAACACCGGUGGCGAAGGCGGCCAACUGGACCACAACUGACGCUGGAGGCGCGAAAGCGUGGGGAGCAAACAGG